GCAGACACAUUCCAGCCAAUCAGCAGCAGACCCUCCCUCCCAGACCCUCCCACCUCCUGGAGAGCUCACUAAGAAUGCAGCUUCACAAUGAAUGUAAAAUGGAUGCUGUCCAGGAGGUGGGAGGGUCUGGGAGGGAGGGUCUGCUGCUGAUUGGCUGGAAUGUGUCUG
rnacentral:miRNA from 1 species